rnacentral:rRNA from 1 species
GACGAACGCUGGCGGCGUGCUUAACACAUGCAAGUCGAACGGAAAGGCCCUGCUUUUGUGGUGUUCUCGAGUGGCGAACGGGUGGGUAACACGUGAGUAACCUGCCCUUGACUUUGGAUAACUUCAGGAAACUGGGGGUAAUACCUGCUGGGAGCUCCCGCUGCAUGGAGGGGGGUGGAAAGUUUCGGCGGUUGGGUCUGGAGUCGCGGCUUAUCAGCUUGUUGGUGGGGGAGUUGCUUACCAAGGCUUUGACGGGUAGUCGGCCUGAGAUGGUGACCGGCCACAUUGGGACUGAGAUACGGACCAGAGUGCUACGGGAGGCAGCAGUGGGGAAUAUUGCACAAUGGGCGGAAGCCUGAUGCAGAAACGCCGCGUGCGGGAUGACGGCCUUCGGGUUGUAAACCGCUUUAGCCUGUGACGAAGAGUGAGUGACGGUAAUGGGUAAAGAAGCACCGGCUCACUACGUG